rnacentral:rRNA from 1 species
CCUACGGGAGGCAGCAGUGGGGAAUAUUGGGCAAUGGGCGCAAGCCUGACCCAGCAACGCCGCGUGAAGGAAGAAGGCUUUCUGGUUGUAAACUUCUUUUCUCAGGGACGAAGCAUGUGACGUUACCUGAGCAAUACGCCACGGCUAACUACGUGCCAGCAGCCGCGGUAAUACGGAGGUGGCAAGCGUUAUCCGGAUUUACGGGGUGUAAAGGGCGUGUAGGCGGGAAAGCAAGUCAGAUGUGAAAACCAUGGGCUCAACCUGUGGCCUGCAUUUGAAACUGUUGUUCUUGAGUACGGGAGAGGCAGACGGAAUUCCUAGUGUAGCGGUGAAAUGCGUAGAUAUUAGGAGGAACACCAGUGGCGAAGGCGGUCUGCUGGACAGCAACUGACGCUGAGGCGCGAAAGCGUGGGGAGCAAACAGGAUUAGAUACCCUAGUAGUC